GACUAAUUCUUCACACACUGUACUGAGAAUGUAAUACAGUACUGAACUCUGUGCAGUCCUUUGGGACACUGAACUGCAGAUGCCAGUAAUUAAAAUCUUCCCAGGACAACUCUCUAUGGCAACUGGAGAGCUAGAGAAAUGAUGACAUCACAAGUUCCAAGAGACUGAAUGAUGAGCAAUUAAGGAUGUUUGGGCAAAAGACCACCGAUGUUUUUGACAGUUGUGCGUGUUGCAAGAGAGAACCUGACAACAGCCCAGUCUGUGUGCCAAUUAAACUAAGACCGGCUCCACAGGGAACCAUCAUCCUUACCUAGAAGGAUGCUGGUUGUGAUACCAAGCCUCAAAGUGUGGAAAGGAGGAAAAAAGAGGAGAUACUCAGGAAUGUGACAGGGAAAUGAAGUCUUCUAUGCAGGGAGGAAAAAUAAAUGGAAAAUGUGGACCUGAUCACGUUACUAUUGA